AUUGAACGCUGGCGGCAUGCCUAACACAUGCAAGUCGAGCGGAUGAAGGGAGCUUGCUCCUGGAUUCAGCGGCGGACGGGUGAGUAAUGCCUAGGAAUCUGCCUGGUAGUGGGGGAUAACGUCCGGAAACGGGCGCUAAUACCGCAUACGUCCUGAUGGAGAAAGUGGGGGAUCUUCGGACCUCACGCUAUCAGAUGAGCCUAGGUCGGAUUAGCUAGUUGGUGGGGUAAAGGCCUACCAAGGCGACGAUCCGUAACUGGUCUGAGAGGAUGAUCAGUCACACUGGAACUGAGACACGGUCCAGACUCCUACGGGAGGCAGCAGUAGGGAAUAUUGGACAAUGGGCGAAAGCCUGAUCCAGCCAUGCCGCGUGUGUGAAGAAGGUCUUCGGAUUGUAAAGCACUUUAAGUUGGGAGGAAGGGAAGUAAGUUAAUACCUUGCUGUUUUGACGUUACCAACAGAAUAAGCACCGGCUAACUUCGUG
rnacentral:rRNA from 1 species